GACGAACGCUGGCGGCGUGCUUAACACAUGCAAGUCGAACGGAAAGGCCCUGCUUUUGUGUGGUGCUCGAGUGGCGAACGGGUGAUUAACACGUGAGUAACCUGCCCUUGACUUUGGGAUAACUUCAGGAAACUGGGUCUAAUACCGGAUAGGAGCUCCUGCUGCAUGGUGGGUGUUGGAAAGUUUCGGCGGUUGGGGAUGGACUGGCGGCUUAUCAGCUUGUUGGUGGGGUAGUGGCUUACCAAGGCUUUGACGGGUAGCCGGCCUGAGAGGGUGAACGGCCACCUUGGGACUGAGAUACGGCGCAGACUCCUACGGGAGGCAGUAGUGGGGAAUCUUGCACAAUGGGCGGAAGCCUGAUGCAGCAACGCCGGGUGCGGGAUGACGGUCUUCGGGUUGUAAACCGCUUUCGCCUGUGACGAAGAGUGAGUGACGGUAAUGGGUAAAGAAGCACCGGCUAACUACGUG
rnacentral:rRNA from 1 species